rnacentral:rRNA from 1 species
AUUGAACGCUGGCGGAAUGCUUUACACAUGCAAGUCGAACGGCAGCACGGACUUCGGUCUGGUGGCGAGUGGCGAACGGGUGAGUAAUGUAUCGGAACGUGCCCAGUCGUGGGGGAUAACGUAGUGAAAAUUACGCUAAUACCGCAUACGAUCUAUGGAUGAAAGCGGGGGAUCGCAAGACCUCGCGCGAUUGGAGCGGCCGAUAUCAGAUUAGGUAGUUGGUGGGGGAAAGGCCCACCAAGUCAACGAUCUGUAGAUGGUCUGAGAGGACUACCAGCCACACUGGGACUGAGACGCGGUCCAGACUCCUACGGGAGGCAGCAGUAGGGAAUUUUGGACAAUGGGCGAAAGCCUGAUCCAGCCAUUCCGCGUGCAGGAUGAAGGCCCUCGGGUUGUAAACUGCUUUUGUACAGAACGAAAAGGUUUCUACUAAUACUAGGGGCUCAUGACGGUACUGUAAGAAUAAGCACCGGCUAACUACGUGCCAGCAGCCGCCGUAA